rnacentral:lncRNA from 10 species
UUUUUACAUAAACAAUAGGGCAGAGGAAGCAAUCGGAUAGGCAUUUGCUUCAGGUGAGCAGAGGGAUGACUUUCUGUCCCACAUCUGUGAAGAUCAGCUGUUGGUUUACAUUGCCAGGGUGAAAUUCAACAGAACUAAUUUAGGGUGAAGAUCUUGAGGCCCACAAGGAAUUUCCUUGUGGGAAAAUUGUGAGGAAGAUCGGAUGAGAGAAGAGAAGUGACUUCCCCAUGGUCACAUGUCUAGUUGGCAAUGGAAGUGGGAUUCAAGUCCAGUUCCACCUGACUUCAAAGCUUAUUCCUGUUUGACUUCACCCUGCUGCCUCUAAGAUAAAGGGGAGAUCAGGAGAGCAGAAUGGUUGCUUCCCCAGAGGAACAUGUGGUCUCAUUUUCUGCUUAGGGAUAGCUCACAGGAUUCAUGAAGUGGUCACCAGAGGAUAAGGACCAACCAGGUUAACGUGAAGAAAACACCCAGCUGCAGCUGUUUAAUGAGCAACUCGAAGCUGUGGAUAAGAGCAAUCACUGCACCCAGCCACCUCUAUAUACAUGUACACAAAGCCACACAGUUUACACAGUCACAGGUAUUUAAGUACACACUAUUCACACACAAAUACAUAUAUAGACACACAUGUACAGUCCGUCCAAAAUAUAUGUACAUAAAAGCACACUAUUACACCUUCAUAUGUGCACACACACACACACCCAGACUCACUUCAUACACACAUAGAUACAACAGCCACAGCUCCCCAUCACCUACACACACACACACACACCUGGACACCCAGCUCUAAUAUAAUCAGAUAGAGAUAUGCAUGCAGACAAAUUUGCCUGUAUAGUCAAACACAUAGGCAAAUAGAGAACGAGACACCACAUGAACAAAGGCAAACCUACACACAAAGACACAGAGCACACUUACGCAUAUAUCUAUAGACCCACCAUGGCACAUAUGGGUAAGUGCACACAGGCAAACUCACACACACGAGCAUGCACAGGCAGAGAACACAAAUGUACACUCCCAGGUGUCAUAAAGAACAGCCCAGCUUCGGCUUGGGAACGUCACAUCAGACAAUAGGAACGGCUGCACCGCGCGUUUCCUCGGCUGCCAGCUUCCCAGCCACAGAGGAUGCCUCACCUGCUAUGUCAGCUCCCCUCUGCCCCACCUCACAAGAAGCUCAGAAGCUGAGGAGUCACAGAGAGACCUCCCUACUGUGUCAGAGCAUUUUAGGACCCAAAGGGACCUAAGAGAGUGCUCAGACAGCUGGCUGCGUUAGGAGCUACCUGUGGCUGCUGAAGAAGAGUUUGCGUCAAUUUAAAGAAAGAGCCAUUCAAGGAAUGAGGACCAUGACCUUGGCUGCACUGACCAGCUGGGCUCUGGAGACUCAGUGAGGCUGCCCAGCCACCAACAGGCCCUGCACAAUAGAUCCACGGACCCAGCAGUCAGAGGUGACCCUAGGGGUCACUGGCCCGUGGCUAAGGAGGAGGAGCACAGACCUGCGACCCCCUUUUCCCAUGGACCACCCAGGGAGGCUGAGCGGGGACUCUGAGCUCAGAUGGACAACCUCAGAGCCACUGGGAAUUUGCCUGAGGCCACUGGGGCCAGGGUUAAAUCCAUAUGAAGCAGCGCGGGCUGUGCACCUGCCAUUUUCUAGGCUCUGUCACAUGCAUCUUUCUGCCAAAUCUCAUGGUGAUCCUUCAAGAAUAGUACUAUUAAUCUCCCCAUUGACAGAGGGAGAAAGGGAGGCUCAGAGACGUUAAGUGUCUCACCAAAGCUCACACAGCUUCCAAGCAAUAGAACUUUACUCAGUACUCAGUACAGGUUAACAUUUAUUCAUUCACUCGAUAACCAUUUGCAGCACAGCUACCAUAUGCCAGGCAGUGUUCUAGGCACUUAGAAUACAUAGAUGAGCAAAACAGGCAAAACCUUUCCCUCAGGGCGUUACCAUUUGAGUGCCACCAUGCCACGGCUGGUACAGUUGCUAUUGAGACAAACAAAAUAAGACCCAGUUUUUGCCUUUGGGGAGUAGGUAGUCUAGUGGAGGAGGCACAUACACAGAAAAUUCCAAAGUACUGUGGAAAUCUCAGGGUACUUUGAUAGGGAUUACCAGAGGAGCUGUGAGAAUAAAGGCUGGAUAUCAGGGAAGGCUUCCUGGAAGAGGUGUUGCCUGAAAUGAGCCUGGAAGGAUCACUUAGGGACAGAAAAGUCAUUCCGUGUAGAAUUCAUGGUACAGCUUGAGCAAAGACACAGAAGCAGAAGGCAGGUUUUUGGUUCCAUGAACUCUACAUCUGGCUACAUACAAAUGGUGAAGAGGAACAGGGAGAAACAUGGUUGAAAAGAACAGGCUUGGACUUCAGGAAGCAGUAAAAUGAGCGAAUGCCAUUUAUGGUUACAAAGAUAACUCAGCUGGGGGCCAAACAGAGACUGAAAUGGAGUGGGUGAGGAUGGAGGCCGGGAGGAGAUGGCUGCAGAGGUCCCAGCAAUGACAGUGGUUGUGGGAAGGGGCAACCCCAAGUCUUGUGCUCCCAACUGCAAAUCCAGUGCUUUUUCUAAAAAAAUAUUUAAAUAAUUUAUUUAUUUUUGAGAUGGAGUCUCGCUCUGUCACCCAGGCUGGAGUGCAGUGACACAAUGUCGGCUCGUGCAACCUCUGCCCCCCGGGUUCAAGCGAUUCUCCUGCCUCAGCCUCCCAAGUAGCUGGGAUUACAGACGCACGCCUCCACGCCUGGCUAAUUUUUUAUAUUUUUGGUAGAGAUGGGGUUUCACCAUGUUGCCCAGGCUGGUCUCGAACUCCUGACUUCAAGUGAUCCACCCACCUCGGCCUCCCAAAGUACUAGGAUGACAGGCGUGAGCCACUGUGCCCAGCCUUAUUUUUUUUUUUAAUUUAUAUUUUCAGAGGCAAACGAUCCUUGCUCAUUAAAAAAAGGAAAUAGAAAUUCAAAACAAAAAUGCCUGUAUCUGAUGGGAAAGAUGAGCCCAAUGUUCUUUUUUAAAAAACCUUUAUUAUGAAAUAUUUCAACUGAACAUAUGCAGUUUAUAUUGUUAUAAAGCAUAACAAGCAAUCAAACAGCUGUGAACCCACCACUCCAUGUCAGAACUAGAACUUCCCAAAGCAGUCGGAGCUGAGGUGAGAUCCACUCUGAUGCCCUUCCCCAACUCCACGCCACCCCCCAAGACCUGACCACCUGAUUACUCUGGGAUUUCAUUUUUGUCUCGUUCCCUUGCUUUGCUUUAUGUCUUUACCAAAUGUGAAUGUGUGCCUAAACAAUACAGUGCUCGAUUUGCUUGUGUUUAAGCUUUAUUACAAAUAUAACUUUGAUCCUUCUGCUACUUGCAAUUCUAAAUUUGAUAUUACGAGUCUCAGCCUCAUCGGCGUUGAUGCGUGUGACCGACAUUGAUUCACUCUCACCAGUACGUGGUGUGUUCCGUUGCAUGCAUGCACCCCUGCUGGGGUAUCCAUUCUCCUGUUGGUGGACCUUUGGGUGGUAUUAGUUGCUGGUCAUCUCCAUGGUGCUGUCCUCUUGCAGGUCUCCAGGACACAUGUGCAUGAGUUCCUCUAGGAAACCACGGUGUACAACUGCUGGGUUGCAGGCCCAGGGUUCUUUCCACUUCUCUAUCCUCCCAAGUAGGGUCCAGCUGGCCUUAGUGCUGCCAUGCUGAGAGCUCUGGGAGGGGCAACCCAGGGCAGACAGGCCCAGGCCAGCCACCCUGCCCCAGGCAUUUCCCAGGACUCAUCAGGCACCCAGCGGCCCCUCAGCAGUGAGCAAUACCAGAAAUCUGCCAGCUGGCUACUAACUGGGUCACAAGAGAGUACUGCUGUCUCACUCAGGGUGCGUUCCAUUUCCUUCAGCACUUGCGCCAAGUAAGGCUGUGUUCACAGGCCACAAGACCCAAGGGAGAUGGAAAUCAGCUCACAGAUGCUGAGCUGACUGCACACCAGGCAGUGUGCAAAGCACCUUACACAUAUAACUCACUUAAUCCUCAUCCCUGACUGCACGAGGUGGGCACUAUUAUUAACCCCACUUUACAGAUAAGAAACUGAGGCGCAGGAAGUUGAAAAUUUUGCCCAGACCAACACGUACAACUUCAAAUCCAGACAGCCUGGCCGCUCUGCUCCUACUACUCUGCUACCCCAUCUCUCAAGAGGGGAAAAGGACUAGCUCCUUGCCCAAUCCUGAGGUUGUCAGCAUUCUUUUACUGGCAAGGAAAACAAAUGGAACUUCAAUGAAUAUAUGUAGAAAGAAAGACUUAUUAGCUGACAAAAAUCAAUAGAGAAAAGACAGGUUAGAAGCAGAUCUCAGGGCCCACUGGGUCCAGGGAGGCGAAAGCGCCCCUCCUUCUCCGUCUUCCUCCUCCACGUCUCUCUUUGUGCUGUUUUCAUUCUUUCCUAUUGCAAAAGGGCCUCCUCCCCUGGGCAGGUAGGUGGCUGCCUGCAACUCUCACCUCACCUUCUCACAGAUCUGCCUAUUUCUAUUUUAAAAUACAAACAAACCAAAAGCCAGAGAAGGUUCCUGACAGGCCCAGGAAAGGAUGUGAUUAGCUUAGUCUGGGCCACCUGCCCAUUUUUUAUGGACUAAAUGUUUGUGUGUCUCCAAAUUGGUAUGUGGAAGCCCUACCCCCAGUGUGACAGUAUUAGGAAGUGGGGCCUCUGAAAGGUCAUUAGGUUUCAAUGAGGUCAUGAGGGUGGGGGGAUCCAUGAUGGAAUUAGUGCCGUUAUAAGAAAAGGAAGAGACACCAGAGUUUUCUCUCCACCAUGUGAGGUUACAGCAAGAAGGCAGCUGUCUGCAAGCCUGAAGAGAGCCCUUACCAGGAGCCAAAUCUGCCAGCACCCUGAUCUUGGACUUCCAGAACUGUGAGAAAUAAAUUCCUGUUCCUGAAGCCACUCAGUCCGUGGGAUUCUAUUAGCAGUCGGGACUGACUUGGACACUGUUCCUGGAGCAACGCUAGUGGCCUGGGGAAGCUGGGCCCUGGGACUGGUGCAGGGAGGGCCACAGUCCCAGCCUAUAGCAGCUGAAGCUGCAUUUGUCCCCAGGAAGAGGACAUCACAGACACAACCCCAGAGGCAGUGGGAGGGGGCAUGAUUGAUUGGGAGCAAGGCAACAGUCUAACAGGGCCCAUCUGUGCCCAGGAGUGGGAGAAGCUCCUGGCCAUGAAGAGAGCCCUCACCAGAGGCCAAACCUACUAGGACCUUGAUCUUGGACUUCCAGCCUCCUCCCUGGAAACACGUGACAGCACAUAUGGGUGGUCUCCCUUCUUGAGCGAGGCCUGAGUCUUCACCCAGGAUCCAACUAGACUGAAAAGAACUGUCUCCCUAACAGCACUCCAUCAGCAUUCAGAGAAAAGAGAUUUCCACCUGGUGUUUUUAACCAACACAACCUCCUUCUACACCCUAACCCAUAGAGGGCCCUGGGACCAGUAUAAGAAGUGUGGGUGUUAAGCUGGGACUGCUAGAAGGAGCAGCAGCCCCAUGGGAGCAGGGCAGGAGGGUCCCCUCUUGACCUGCUGACUGCAAACACUGCAGCCGGAGAGACACUCACUCAGGCCACGGUGGGGAGGCCCAGGGGAGGCACGUGUCCUCAUUCUGCUAAGGCGAUAGGGCUCGGGCACAGGACAGGCGAUUUGA